UACAGAGGUGGCAAGCGUUGUUCGGAUUCACUGGGCGUAAAGGGUGCGUAGGUGGCGGGGUAAGUCGGAUGUGAAAGCUCAGAGCUCAACUCCGAAAUUGCAUUGGAAACUACCUUGCUCGAGGGUUGGAGGGGGGACUGGAAUGCUUGGUGUAGCAGUGAAAUGCGUAGAUAUCUGGAGGAACACCGGUGGCGAAGGCGGCAUCCUGGACCGGUAUUGACGCUGAUGCGCGAAGGCGUGGGGAGCAAACAGG
rnacentral:rRNA from 1 species